GUGUCAGCCGCCGCGGUAAUACCAGCUCCCCGAGUGGUCGGGACGGUUAUUGGGCCUAAAGCAUCCGUUCGCGGCCCUGUCCGUCUUCCGUUAAAUCUAACGGGGGAACCGUUAGGCUGCGGAAGAUACCACAGGGCUAGGGGGCGGGAGAGGUGGACGGUACUCCAAGGGUAGGGGUAAAAUCCUCUGAUCCUUGGAAGACCACCGGUGGCGAAGGCGGUCCACCAGAACGCGCCCGACGGUGAGGGAUGAAAGCUGGGGGAGCGAACCGGAUUAGAUACCCGGGUAGUCC
rnacentral:rRNA from 1 species